GAUGAACGCUGGCGGCGUGCCUAAUACAUGCAAGUCGAGCGAACAGACGAUGAGCUUGCUCCUCUGACGUUAGCGGCGGACGGGUGAGUAACACGUGGAUAACCUACCUAUAAGACUGGGAUAAUUUCGGGAAACCGGAGCUAAUACCGGAUAAUAUAUUCAACCGCAGGGUUCAAUAGUGAAAGACGGUUUUGCUGUCACUUAUAGAUGGAUCCGUGCCGGAUUAGCUAGUUGGUAAGGUAACGGCUCACCAAGGCAACGAUGCGUAGCCGACCUGAGAGGGUGAUCGGCCACACUGGAACUGAGACACGGUCCAGACUCCUACGGGAGGCAGCAGUAGGGAAUCUUCCGCAAUGGGCGAAAGCCUGACGGAGCAACGCCGCGUGAGUGAUGAAGGUCUUCGGAUCGUAAAACUCUGUUAUUAGGGAAGAACAAAUGUGUAAGUAACUAUGCACGUCUUGACGGUACCUAAUCAGAAAGCCACGGCUAACUACGUG
rnacentral:rRNA from 1 species